CAUCGCUGCUGCGCAAGGAUGUGCACAGAGUCAUGGAAGAAUGACCCAGGCCAGGACGGUCGGCGACAGGAUGUCGUAAUGGUCGACAAAAAACCCGCUUCGGCGGGUUUUUU
rfam:Pseudomonas agarici strain NCPPB 2472 genome.